AUUCACCACUAGGGGGGCUUUAUGAAGCUGAGAGAGACCAAUGUCUUGACCCUUAUUACCUGAUCUAGAUAAUACUAGCGUAGGGAAGAGGUGUUUGAAAAUA
rnacentral:ncRNA from 2 species